rnacentral:rRNA from 1 species
GGGUUGUGAGGUUAAGCGACUAAGCGUACACGGUGGAUGCCUUGGCAGUCAGAGGCGAUGAAGGACGUGCUAAUCUGCGAUAAGCGUCGGUAAGGUGAUAUGAACCGUUAUAACCGGCGAUUUCCGAAUGGGGAAACCCAGUGUGAUUCGUCACACUAUCAUUAACUGAAUCCAUAGGUUAAUGAGGCGAACCGGGGGAACUGAAACAUCUAAGUACCCCGAGGAAAAGAAAUCAACCGAGAUUCCCCCAGUAGCGGCGAGCGAACGGGGAGCAGCCCAGAGCCUGAAUCAGUGUGUGUGUGUUAGUGGAAGCGUCUGGAAAGGCGUGCGAUACAGGGUGACAGCCCCGUACACAAAAAUGCACAUACUGUGAGCUCGAUGAGUAGGGCGGGACACGUGGUAUCCUGUCUGAAUAUGGGGGGACCAUCCUCCAAGGCUAAAUACUCCUGACUGACCGAUAGUGAACCAGUACCGUGAGGGAAAGGCGAAAAGAACCCCGGCGAGGGGAGUGAAAAAGAACCUGAAACCGUGUACGUACAAGCAGUGGGAGCACGCUUAGGCGUGUGACUGCGUACCUUUUGUAUAAUGGGUCAGCGACUUAUAUUCUGUAGCAAGGUUAACCGAAUAGGGGAGCCGAAGGGAAACCGAGUCUUAACUGGGCGUUAAGUUGCAGGGUAUAGACCCGAAACCCGGUGAUCUAGCCAUGGGCAGGUUGAAGGUUGGGUAACACUAACUGGAGGACCGAACCGACUAAUGUUGAAAAAUUAGCGGAUGACUUGUGGCUGGGGGUGAAAGGCCAAUCAAACCGGGAGAUAGCUGGUUCUCCCCGAAAGCUAUUUAGGUAGCGCCUCGUGAAUUCAUCUCCGGGGGUAGAGCACUGUUUCGGCAAGGGGGUCAUCCCGACUUACCAACCCGAUGCAAACUGCGAAUACCGGAGAAUGUUAUCACGGGAGACACACGGCGGGUGCUAACGUCCGUCGUGAAGAGGGAAACAACCCAGACCGCCAGCUAAGGUCCCAAAGUCAUGGUUAAGUGGGAAACGAUGUGGGAAGGCCCAGACAGCCAGGAUGUUGGCUUAGAAGCAGCCAUCAUUUAAAGAAAGCGUAAUAGCUCACUGGUCGAGUCGGCCUGCGCGGAAGAUGUAACGGGGCUAAACCAUGCACCGAAGCUGCGGCAGCGACGCUUAUGCGUUGUUGGGUAGGGGAGCGUUCUGUAAGCCUGUGAAGGUGUGCUGUGAGGUAUGCUGGAGGUAUCAGAAGUGCGAAUGCUGACAUAAGUAACGAUAAAGCGGGUGAAAAGCCCGCUCGCCGGAAGACCAAGGGUUCCUGUCCAACGUUAAUCGGGGCAGGGUGAGUCGACCCCUAAGGCGAGGCCGAAAGGCGUAGUCGAUGGGAAACAGGUUAAUAUUCCUGUACUUGGUGUUACUGCGAAGGGGGGACGGAGAAGGCUAUGUUGGCCGGGCGACGGUUGUCCCGGUUUAAGCGUGUAGGCUGGUUUUCCAGGCAAAUCCGGAAAAUCAAGGCCGAGGCGUGAUGACGAGGCACUACGGUGCUGAAGCAACAAAUGCCCUGCUUCCAGGAAAAGCCUCUAAGCAUCAGGUAACAUCAAAUCGUACCCCAAACCGACACAGGUGGUCAGGUAGAGAAUACCAAGGCGCUUGAGAGAACUCGGGUGAAGGAACUAGGCAAAAUGGUGCCGUAACUUCGGGAGAAGGCACGCUGAUACGUAGGUGAAGCGACUUGCUCGUGGAGCUGAAAUCAGUCGAAGAUACCAGCUGGCUGCAACUGUUUAUUAAAAACACAGCACUGUGCAAACACGAAAGUGGACGUAUACGGUGUGACGCCUGCCCGGUGCCGGAAGGUUAAUUGAUGGGGUUAGCGCAAGCGAAGCUCUUGAUCGAAGCCCCGGUAAACGGCGGCCGUAACUAUAACGGUCCUAAGGUAGCGAAAUUCCUUGUCGGGUAAGUUCCGACCUGCACGAAUGGCGUAAUGAUGGCCAGGCUGUCUCCACCCGAGACUCAGUGAAAUUGAACUCGCUGUGAAGAUGCAGUGUACCCGCGGCAAGACGGAAAGACCCCGUGAACCUUUACUAUAGCUUGACACUGAACAUUGAGCCUUGAUGUGUAGGAUAGGUGGGAGGCUUUGAAGUGUGGACGCCAGUCUGCAUGGAGCCGACCUUGAAAUACCACCCUUUAAUGUUUGAUGUUCUAACGUGGACCCGUGAUCCGGGUUGCGGACAGUGUCUGGUGGGUAGUUUGACUGGGGCGGUCUCCUCCUAAAGAGUAACGGAGGAGCACGAAGGUUGGCUAAUCCUGGUCGGACAUCAGGAGGUUAGUGCAAUGGCAUAAGCCAGCUUGACUGCGAGCGUGACGGCGCGAGCAGGUGCGAAAGCAGGUCAUAGUGAUCCGGUGGUUCUGAAUGGAAGGGCCAUCGCUCAACGGAUAAAAGGUACUCCGGGGAUAACAGGCUGAUACCGCCCAAGAGUUCAUAUCGACGGCGGUGUUUGGCACCUCGAUGUCGGCUCAUCACAUCCUGGGGCUGAAGUAGGUCCCAAGGGUAUGGCUGUUCGCCAUUUAAAGUGGUACGCGAGCUGGGUUUAGAACGUCGUGAGACAGUUCGGUCCCUAUCUGCCGUGGGCGCUGGAGAACUGAGGGGGGCUGCUCCUAGUACGAGAGGACCGGAGUGGACGCAUCACUGGUGUUCGGGUUGUCAUGCCAAUGGCACUGCCCGGUAGCUAAAUGCGGAAGAGAUAAGUGCUGAAAGCAUCUAAGCACGAAACUUGCCCCGAGAUGAGUUCUCCCUGACCCUUUAAGGGUCCUGAAGGAACGUUGAAGACGACGACGUUGAUAGGCCGGGUGUGUAAGCGCAGCGAUGCGUUGAGCUAACCGGUACUAAUGAACCGUGAGGCUUAACCUUACAACGCCGAAG